CAGCGGCCCUAGUGGUGAUCGUUAUUAUUGGGCCUAAAGCGUCCGUAGCCGGUUCGGUAAAUCUCUGGGUAAAUCGUUGGGCUUAACUCAACGAAUUCUGGGGAGACUGCCGAACUUGGGACCGGGAGAGGUCGGAGGUACUCCAGGGGUAGGGGUGAAAUCCUGUAAUCCUUGGGGGACCACCGGUGGCGAAGGCGUCCGACCAGAACGGGUCCGACGGUAAGGGACGAAGCCCUGGGGCGCAAACCGGAUUAGAUACCCGAGUAGUCC
rnacentral:rRNA from 1 species